rnacentral:rRNA from 1 species
GAUGAACGCUAGCGACAGGCUUAACACAUGCAAGUCGAGGGGCAGCGAGGGCGUAGCAAUACGCCUGUCGGCGACCGGCGCACUGGUGAGUAACACGUAUGCGACCUGCCCCCUACAGGGGUAUAACCCGUAGAAAUGCGGACUAAUCCCCCAUAGUCCCGCGGGCUGCAUGGCCUGCGGGGGAAAGGCCAGCCGGUAGGGGAUGGGCAUGCGGCGCAUUAGCUAGUUGGCGGGGCAACGGCCCACCAAGGCGACGAUGCGUAGGGGUUCUGAGAGGAAGGUCCCCCACACUGGUACUGAGACACGGACCAGACUCCUACGGGAGGCAGCAGUGAGGAAUAUUGGUCAAUGGGCGCAGGCCUGAACCAGCCAAGUCGCGUGAGGGAUGACGGUCCUACGGAUUGUAAACCUCUUUUGUCGGGGAGUAACGUGCGGGACGGGUCCCGUAUUGAGAGUACCCGAAGAAAAAGCAUCGGCUAACUCCGUG